rnacentral:rRNA from 1 species
AGAGUUUGAUCCUGGCUCAGAUUGAACGCUGGCGGCAUGCCUUACACAUGCAAGUCGAACGGCAGCACGGAGCUUGCUCUGGUGGCGAGUGGCGAACGGGUGAGUAAUAUAUCGGAACGUACCCUAGAGUGGGGGAUAACGUAGCGAAAGUUACGCUAAUACCGCAUACGAUCUAAGGAUGAAAGUGGGGGAUCGCAAGACCUCAUGCUCGUGGAGCGGCCGAUAUCUGAUUAGCUAGUUGGUAGGGUAAAGGCCUACCAAGGCAUCGAUCAGUAGCUGGUCUGAGAGGACGACCAGCCACACUGGAACUGAGACACGGUCCAGACUCCUACGGGAGGCAGCAGUGGGGAAUUUUGGACAAUGGGCGAAAGCCUGAUCCAGCAAUGCCGCGUGAGUGAAGAAGGCCUUCGGGUUGUAAAGCUCUUUUGUCAGGGAAGAAACGGUGAGAGCUAAUAUCUCUUGCUAAUGACGGUACCUGAAGAAUAAGCACCGGCUAACUACGUGCCAGCAGCCGCGGUAAUACGUAGGGUGCAAGCGUUAAUCGGAAUUACUGGGCGUAAAGCGUGCGCAGGCGGUUUUGUAAGUCUGAUGUGAAAUCCCCGGGCUCAACCUGGGAAUUGCAUUGGAGACUGCAAGGCUAGAAUCUGGCAGAGGGGGGUAGAAUUCCACGUGUAGCAGUGAAAUGCGUAGAUAUGUGGAGGAACACCGAUGGCGAAAGCAGCCCCCUGGGUCAAGAUUGACGCUCAUGCACGAAAGCGUGGGGAGCAAACAGGAUUAGAUACCCUGGUAGUCCACGCCCUAAACGAUGUCUACUAGUUGUCGGGUCUUAAUUGA